AUCGCGGAGAAAGUUGCGGUGCCAUGAAGCGGAGACACCGCAGAUGUCAGUGCCACAUGUGAGGGACCCGGUGCAGAAUGAGAUUGACUUCAUGGAAACGCAAGACUGAUAAACAAUUGUCGCCCGGAGGGAUCGAGGGGUGUUCGACGAGGGCAGUGGCCGCAUUCCUAUUCAUGGCAUCGGUUUCAGACCUGUUGAUGGUGCAGGAAACGAAGGUAACUGAGUCGGGGGUGGUGGUGGUGGGGGGCAACAUGGGACAGGUGGCCCUGAUGAGAAGAGGUGAAUAAUGACGAGGAAAUGCUGAGCGGACCCCCUCCUGUGACGGAGCGCACGGAGACGAGAUGAAAAGGUGAAACGAGCGGGAUUACGGCACCACCCAACUCUCCAACCCUCCCAAAAAGAAAAGAAAAGAAAA